rnacentral:rRNA from 1 species
CCUACGGGUGGCAGCAGUGGGGAAUAUUGGACAAUGGGCGAAAGCCUGAUCCAGCCAUGCCGCGUGUGUGAAGAAGGCCUUCGGGUUGUAAAGCACUUUCAGUGGGGAAGAAAGCCUUGGGGCUAAUACCCUCGAGGAAGGACAUCACCCACAGAAGAAGCACCGGCUAACUCCGUGCCAGCAGCCGCGGUAAUACGGAGGGUGCGAGCGUUAAUCGGAAUUACUGGGCGUAAAGCGCGCGUAGGCGGUCUGAUAAGCCGGUUGUGAAAGCCCCGGGCUCAACCUGGGAACGGCAUCCGGAACUGUCAGGCUAGAGUGCAGGAGAGGAAGGUAGAAUUCCCGGUGUAGCGGUGAAAUGCGUAGAGAUCGGGAGGAAUACCAGUGGCGAGGGCGGCCUUCUGGACUGACACUGACGCUGAGGUGCGAAAGCGUGGGUAGCAAACAGGAUUAGAUACCCUAGUAGUC